GGAAUAUUGGUCAAUGGCCGAGAGGCUGAACCAGCCAUGCCGCGUGCGGGAGGACGGCCCUAUGGGUUGUAAACCGCUUUUGUUGGGGAGCAAUAAGGGUCACGUGUGGCCUGAUGAGAGUACCCAGCGAAUAAGCAUCGGCUAACUCCGUGCCAGCAGCCGCGGUAAUACGGAGGAUGCGAGCGUUAUCCGGAUUUAUUGGGUUUAAAGGGUGCGUAGGCGGAGCUUUAAGCGUGAGGUGAAAUGCCCGGGCUCAACCUGGGGACUGCCUCGCGAACUGGAGUUCUGGAAUGCCCCUGCCGUGGGAGGAAUGUGUGGUGUAGCGGUGAAAUGCAUAGAGAUCACACAGAACACCGAUUGCGAAGGCAUCUCACGAAGGGGUGAUUGACGCUGAGGCACGAAAGCGUGGGGAUCAAACA
rnacentral:rRNA from 1 species